rnacentral:rRNA from 1 species
UACGUAGGUGGCAAGCGUUACUCGGAAUUACUAGGCGUAAAGCGCAGGUAGGUGGUUGGGUAAGUCCGCAAUGAAAGCUCCUGGCUUAACUGGGAGAGGUUUGUGGAUACUGCUCGACUCGAGUGUGGGAGAGGUAACUGGAAUUCCCGGUGUAGCGGUGAAAUGCGUAGAGAUCGGGAGGAACACCAACGGCGAAAGCAGGUUACUGGCCCAAUACUGACACUGAGAUGCGAAAGCUAGGGGAGCAAACAGG